UCCAAUCGAACUCGGAGAUAGCUGGUUCUCCCCGAAAUAGCUUUAGGGCUAGCGUUAUUUUAGAUUACCGGAGGUAAAGCACUGAAUGGUCUAGGGGCCGCGAGGUUACCAAAGCCUAUCAAACUCUGAAUGCCGGAUAAUUGAUGAAUAGCAGUCAGACUGUGUGAGAUAAGUCUCAUAGUCAAAAGGGAAACAGCCCAGAUCUACAGCUAAGGUCCCAAAUGAACACUAAGUGGAAAAUGAUGUGAAACUGCGAAGACAACCAGGAUGUUGGCUUAGAAGCAGCCACUCAUUCAAAGAGUGCGUAAUAGCUCACUGGUCGAGUGGUUUUGCGCAGAAAAUGUAACGGGGCUAAGUGUUCAACCGAAGCUUAGGCAUUGCAGUAAUGCAUUGGGUAGGGGAGCGUCGUAUGCGGGGUGAAGUCAGAGCGGAAGCACUGGUGGACUGCAUACGAGUGAGAAUGCCGGAAUAAGUAGCGAGAAUUAUGUGAGAAUCAUAAUGGCCGAAAAUCUAAGGUUUCUUGGGGAAGGUUCGUCCGCCCAAGGUUAGUCGGGAGCUAAGCUCAGGCCGAAAGGCGUAGGCGAUGCACAUACGGUAGAAAUUCCGUAACCACCGAACAUUUAAGCUAGAGGGACGCUUUCUUUAAGGUUAUCCCGGGCGAUGGUUGCCCCGGGCGUAAGGGACCGAAAUAUAGUAGGGAAGUAACUGGCGAGAGAGACGAGAAAAGCUCUAGUGUAUACUAAGGUGCCCGUACCGCAAACCGACACAGGUAGAUGGGAUGAGUAUUCUAAGGCCAACGGGAGAAGGGUUGUUAAGGAACUCGGCAAAUUGGCCCCGUAACUUCGGGAUAAGGGGCGCCUGCGAGAGCAGGCCGCAGUGAAAAGGCCCAAGCGACUGUUUAGCAAAAACACAGCUCUCUGCUAAAUCGAAAGAUGACGUAUAGGGGGUGACGCCUGCCCGGUGCUGGAAGGUUAAGGGGAGUGCUUAGCGCAAGCGAAGGUGCGAACUUAAGCCCCAGUAAACGGCGGCCGUAACUAUAACGGUCCUAAGGUAGCGAAAUUCCUUGUCAGGUAAGUUCUGACCCGCACGAAUGGCGUAACGAUUUGGGCACUGUCUCAACAGCCCGCCCGGCGAAAUUGUAGUACCGGUGAAGAUGCCGGUUUCCCGCAACUAGACGGAAAGACCCCAUGGAGCUUCACUGUAGCUUGAUAUUGGAUCUCGGUAUUCCAUGUACAGGAUAGGUGGGAGACUUGGAAGUAAGCGCGCCAGCGUUUAUGGAGUCAACCUUGGGAUACCACUCUUGGGAUAUUGGGAUUCUAACCUGCGACCAUGAAUCUGGUCGGGGGACACUGUCAGGUGGGCAGUUUGACUGGGGCGGUCGCCUCCAAAAGAGUAACGGAGGCGCUCAAAGGUUCGUUCAGCACGGAUGGAAAUCGUGCACUGAGUGUAAACGCAUAAACGAGCCUAACUGCGAGAAUGACGGUUCGAGCAGUAACGAAAGUUGGAGUUAGUGAUCCGGCGGUAUGUGAAUGGAAAUGCCGUCGCUCAACGGAUAAAAGCUACCCUGGGGAUAACAGGCUGAUCU
rnacentral:rRNA from 1 species